rnacentral:rRNA from 1 species
CACGUAGGCGGAUAUUUAAGUCAGGGGUGAAAUCCCAGAGCUCAACUCUGGAACUGCCUUUGAUACUGGGUAUCUUGAGUAUGGAAGAGGUAAGUGGAAUUCCGAGUGUAGAGGUGAAAUUCGUAGAUAUUCGGAGGAACACCAGUGGCGAAGGCGGCUUACUGGUCCAUUACUGACGCUGAGGUGCGAAAGCGCGGGGAGCAAACA